UGUGUUUCUUCGUCCACUUCCCAUGUCAUAGUCGCGCCGAUGUCAUCGUUUUCCAACUUGCCAAUAAACCGGAAUAACAUGAGAACCGCCGUUUAAAAUAGAAGCGCUGGCAUAGAGUAGGGAAGUGACAAAAUCACACAUUGUUUGAUUUGCGCAAUAACACGCGCGUUUAUUUAUUCAUUCGUUCGUUCAAACGACUUUUCCGCAUCUUACACUCAGCACACAGCCGCUGUAAGAGUUCACGACACGAGGCUGCAGCUAAAAUAGGUAAAAUAAAACAUGUCCUUAAUUAUAUACACAACGUGGCAGGAAGCUCGGCGCGUAUGGCACACCAGGUCCCAAAAAAUUCACUCAAAUACUCGAGCUUCUUGCCAACCGAUCAGCUGUACAACUAUAAACAACAAACAGCGUGUUCCAACAAUGCUCGGCACAUGAAAGGAGAGCAGCCCGGGCGAGCACACGCUCGCCUCUCGGAUAGUA
rnacentral:lncRNA from 1 species